GUCACCGAACCACUUUAUUAUCAUUCGGUGAAGACUUUCCUCCUUUUUAAAUUGAUCGGACGUUUCGAUGUGUUGGUCCGGCCUCCAUCGCCAACCUACAAGAAUAUUAGUCAUUCCAAUGUUGUAUAAUCGGUAAAGAUUCUGGCAGGGCUGAAACGUGUUCUGGAGGAAUUAAGCCAGAAAACCAGCCCAUGCUAGUAGCGCUAAGGCCACCUGUGCGAAACAGCCAUGAAGCAAUAGAAUAUAUAGCACGACAUGAAAUUUUCAAAGAAUUUUUGAUCUUUCGUUUCAACUACUAAUUCACAACUUGCCUGGAAAAUAAAUAUGCACAAAA